rnacentral:rRNA from 1 species
GCAAGUCGAGCGAUGAGAUCCCUUCGGGGAAGGAUUAGCGGCGAACGGGUGAGGAACACGUGGGGAAUCUGCCUUCAACACUGGGAUAACUCCGGGAAACCGGGGCUAAUACCGGAUACGAGACCUGCAGGCAUCUGCGGGUCUGGAAAGUUUUUCGGUUGAAGAUGACCUCGCGGCCUAUCAGCUUGUUGGUGAGGUAAUGGCUCACCAAGGCGACGACGGGUAGCCGGCCUGAGAGGGCGACCGGCCACACUGGGACUGAGACACGGCCCAGACUCCUACGGGAGGCAGCAGUGGGGAAUAUUGGGCAAUGGAGGAAACUCUGACCCAGCGACGCCGCGUGCGGGAUGAAGGCCUUCGGGUUGUAAACCGCUUUCAGCAAGGAAGAAGCGAAAGUGACGGUACUUGCAGAAGAAGCACCGGCUAACUAUGUGCCAGCAGCCGCGGUAAUACAUAGGGUGCAAGCGUUGUCCGGAAUUAUUGGGCGUAAAGAGCUCGUAGGUGGUUCGUCACGUCGGAUGUGAAAAUCUGGGGCUUAACCCCAGACCUGCAUUCGAUACGGGCGAGCUAGAGUGUGGUAGGGGAGACUGGAAUUCCUGGUGUAGCGGUGGAAUGCGCAGAUAUCAGGAGGAACACCAAUGGCGAAGGCAGGUCUCUGGGCCAUUACUGACACUGAGGAGCGAAAGCGUGGGGAGCGAACAGGAUUAGAUACCCUGGUAGUCCACGCCGUAAACGGUGGGCACUAGUUGUGGGAACCUUCCACGGUUUCUGCGACGCAGCUAACGCAUUAAGUGCCCCGCCUGGGGAGUACGAUCGCAAGAUUAAAACUCAAAGGAAUUGACGGGGCCCCGCACAAGCAGCGGAGCAUGCGGCUUAAUU